UGCCGGGAUUCCCCAUGCCCUGACAUGGAGCACUCCAGAAAAAUGAGAGCAGUAUUUUUUUUCCUUUUUUUUUUAACGUUGGAAGCAUUAGGCCCAGACAGUGGUUGAAAACCACAGCUCAGUUGGCGAUGAGUGCUGUGCAGCAGCGGAAGCGUGUGGAAAAAUUCUGGCUGACUCAUCCAUAAUUCAUCUAGCGUCCCAGGGAACGUGCGCACUGGAGAGGGAUCCCUGGUACUCCUGCAAGGAAGAGGCCUGCUGCCCCAGCAAGAUGUGGGCAACAACCAGCCCUCUUUUACCCAGGUGGCCUCUGAAGGACCACAGGCAACAUCUCUCAUACCUGUGACUAUGUGCACCAUUGGCCCAGCCAUGCAGAUGUGCUGCUUGAACUGCAGCAGCCCCAGGACAAGGUAGAGAAGAACUGCUUAAAUUUGAGAGCAAAGCCUCACUGAGACACUUGCUUUUCAGUCCUGCCUGACAGCUGAGUUCCACACAGAAGCUCACAUCAGUCCUGCCUGAGCCAAUACCAAGCUGUAAAUACACAUCCAACCAAGGAACAUUCGGAAGAUUUGUGCGGAUGCAUUUAUAUUCUCUGUGGGUAGACAUGGUUAUAAUACUUCCUUUUCCUGUGUUUUUCACUGUGGUUCAAUAUUCCUGUACAUUAAGACUGUGCCACUUUAAUUAUGGAUCAUGUUUC